UUCUUUAGGCGUCGACCGGCGAAUGGGUGAGUAACGCGUAUCCAACCUGCCCCUGAGUAAGGGAUAGCCCAUCGAAAGAUGGAUUAAUACCUUAUGGUCUCCUUUGCAGACAUCUAAUUAGGAGUAAAGAUUUAUCGCUGAGGGAUGGGGAUGCGUCUGAUUAGCUUGUUGGCGGGUAACGGCCCACCAAGGCAACGAUCAGUAGGGGUUCUGAGAGGAAGGUCCCCCACAUUGGUACUGAGACACGGACCAAACUCCUACGGGAGGCAGCAGUGAGGAAUAUUGGUCAAUGGGCGCAAGCCUGAACCAGCCAAGUAGCGUGCCAGGAAGACUGCCCUAUGGGUUGUAAACUGCUUUUAUACGGGGAUAAAGUCAGGGUCGUGACCCUGUUUGCAGGUACCGUAUGAAUAAGGACCGGCUAAUUCCGUGCCAGCAGCUGC
rnacentral:rRNA from 1 species